rnacentral:SRP_RNA from 1 species
UGUGCUAUGUGGGGAGUUAGCGGUGCCCUGAACUUGCAAUCCGCUGUAGCAAGGCAGAAUAUCUUUUUCGGGAAUUCAAGGGCAAGCAGAGAAUUUAUUUUUUGUGAUGAAAUCAAGGUCUUGUGCAACAAAAGACUGCGAAUCAUGUCAGGUCCGGGAGGAAGCAGCAUUAAACAGACACUUUUGUGUGCCAUGAGGGUGCUUUGAUGGAGCAAAAAAU